AGUUAGCGUUAGGGAUUGCAGAGAAAAGCCCACAGCCCGACGUGAGGAGGUGCGAGGACUUGUAACGUAAAGCCCGACCUUUA
rnacentral:ncRNA from 2 species